ACGAUUGACGGAGCGAAGCGACGUCAAAGCGUUCAUUAAAGUCGAGUUGGCUUAGGGAUACGUUCGUUGGGUAGGGGAGCGUUCUGUAAGCCUGUGAAGGUGUGUCGUGAGGCAUGCUGGAGGUAUCAGAAGUGCGAAUGCUGACAUAAGUAACGAUAAAGCGGGUGAAAAGCCCGCUCGCCGGAAGACCAAGGGUUCCUGUCCAACGUUAAUCGGGGCAGGGUGAGUCGACCCCUAAGGCGAGGCCGAAAGGCGUAGUCGAUGGGAAACGGGUUAAUAUUCCCGUACUUGGUGUUACUGCGAAGGGGGGACGGAGAAGGCUAUGUUGGCCGGGCGACGGUUGUCCCGGUUUAAGCGUGUAGGUGUGUGUUCCAGGUAAAUCCGGUUCACUUUAACACUGAGGCGUGACGACGAGGCACUACGGUGCUGAAGCAACAAAUGCCCUGCUUCCAGGAAAAGCCUCUAAGCAUCAGGUAACAUCAAAUCGUACCCCAAACCGACACAGGUGGUCAGGUAGAGAAUACCAAGGCGCUUGAGAGAACUCGGGUGAAGGAACUAGGCAAAAUGGUGCCGUAACUUCGGGAGAAGGCACGCUGACACGUAGGUGAAGUGAUUUACUCAUGGAGCUGAAGUCAGUCGAAGAUACCAGCUGGCUGCAACUGUUUAUUAAAAACACAGCACUGUGCAAACACGAAAGUGGACGUAUACGGUGUGACGCCUGCCCGGUGCCGGAAGGUUAAUUGAUGGGGUCAGCGCAAGCGAAGCUCCUGAUCGAAGCCCCGGUAAACGGCGGCCGUAACUAUAACGGUCCUAAGGUAGCGAAAUUCCUUGUCGGGUAAGUUCCGACCUGCACGAAUGGCGUAAUGAUGGCCAGGCUGUCUCCACCCGAGACUCAGUGAAAUUGAACUCGCUGUGAAGAUGCAGUGUACCCGCGGCAAGACGGAAAGACCCCGUGAACCUUUACUAUAGCUUGACACUGAACAUUGAGCCUUGAUGUGUAGGAUAGGUGGGAGGCUUUGAAGUGUGGACGCCAGUCUGCAUGGAGCCGACCUUGAAAUACCACCCUUUAAUGUUUGAUGUUCUAACGUGGACCCGUAAUCCGGGUUGCGGACAGUGUCUGGUGGGUAGUUUGACUGGGGCGGUCUCCUCCUAAAGAGUAACGGAGGAGCACGAAGGUUGGCUAAUCCUGGUCGGACAUCAGGAGGUUAGUGCAAUGGCAUAAGCCAGCUUGACUGCGAGCGUGACGGCGCGAGCAGGUGCGAAAG
rnacentral:rRNA from 1 species